rnacentral:rRNA from 1 species
UACGUAGGGUGCGAGCGUUAAUCGGAAUUACUGGGCGUAAAGCGUGCGCAGGCGGUUUGCUAAGACAGGUGUGAAAUCCCCGGGCUUAACCUGGGAACUGCGCUUGUGACUGGCAGGCUAGAGUACGGUAGAGGGGGGUGGAAUUCCUGGUGUAGCAGUGAAAUGCGUAGAUAUCAGGAGGAACACCGAUGGCGAAGGCAGCCCCCUGGGCCUGUACUGACGCUCAUGCACGAAAGCGUGGGGAGCAAACAGGAUUAGAUACCCCCGUA